GAUAAACAUGUGUGUUGGGGUGCCCAAGCUGCAUAGUACCCUUCCCCCAGAUCGUGGAUAUGGAGCUAAUGCGAAGAAUAGAAAUAAGGCUUCCAAGACUGAUGCUGGACGGUAUCCACCUGCCUCUUCUUCAUUUCUCCUGGAAACACACAAAGAAUAGCUAACAGAGGUCUGCAUUCUGCAAGGCAAACAAUUAUUCUAACUUCAAAUACUAAGUUUCACCUCUUCUUUUCCGCAGCUAUCAGUCAGAGAUCACUUCCGAGUUAAGGAUGUAGGCCAUGCAGCCAUCUUAAGUCUGCGAUCAGUCUCAAGGUAGACCCACCUUUCUGCACACCCAAGCUAAUGCCACACCCCUGAGGCAAAGGAUUGUAACUGAGAAAUUUCAUCGUGACUGUCGCUGUACCCUGGACCUGGCAUCCUGUCAAGCAGUACUGUUACACACCGGCUGUCAUCUCCUGCUGAAUAAUUAAUUCCAGGAAACCAAAUUUGCCCAAGGGGGGAAGAAAGAAUAACGGGACUGGAGAUUGGCAGGGCAGCGGGCAAUGUUUGCUCACCUUUCCAUGCCCAUCCCGGAUGUUGCCUGCUCAUCGUCGGCCUGAACUAUGGCUCUGGAGGAUUAACCCACAGUUUGGGGGUGGAGGGAAUGUCUGUUGGCUGCAGCAGACAGGUCCAGCCAACCCAGCCAUCCCAGGGUGGUUGUUGAGAUUUGAUGGAGUGUUGGAUAACUUCCCAAGCAGCUGCUGUUGCUCGUGUGAAUCUACAGAGCUCAUCAGGUCUGGCAUGAUGCCCGGGGCCUUGUGUUGGUCCUGGAAUACAGUCUUCAGUGUAAGGUAGGGGUGAGCUGGCAAAACAGUGAGUGGUUUUCAGACAUUCUUAUGAACAUCAGCAGCUUGGGGCAUUUCGUUAGGUUACUGAAGCUCCCAGAGGGUUUAAGGCCAAUAAAUACGGGGUUUGUCAUCGGGAGCCUGGGAGCCUUACCCAAAUUCUACAUCUGCACUGCCUCUUAGCCACAGUGAUGCUGAGGUUGACCUGUGAGGACCCUCAUGAGAACAGCCCCCUAUUCAGGCAAAGAGAAAGAGAAAAAUAAAGCACCCCUUACUGGCUUUGUCCUCCACCUGAAGCUUCAUUGUCAGAGCUCAAAUUUUCAAAAAUAUAACCACGAAAAAGAUAUCUAGAUAUAAAAUUUUAAAAAAUACCUAUUCUGGUAAGUACUAACUGGUCUGGUAACAGUUAAAAUGCUGACAUUCUGAUAAACUCAAAACCUAAAUAUUUGGUUUUAACGUCAACUAAGUGAAGUGUUUUUAUUUUCACCUGGUCUGAGCAAAUUUAUGCUCACUGCUAGUAUCACAUUUGUGCAUCUUUUCUUACACAGCUUCUGUGGGAAAGGCGUUGUCCUCAGCCCUGAGGCUUGGGUCUGUGUCUGCUACACUGAAUGUGCCUCUCCAAAAUUUAUAUUAAAGCUUAAUCUCCACUAUUCCAGUGUUAAGAAAUCAGAUCUUUGGAGGAGUGAUUAAUGAUGGCACUGCCCUUUGGGGUAGAUUAAUCCCUUAUGGAAGGCUUGAGAGAACUGUCCUCGCUUGUUUACCUUUCUCCCUUCUGCCACACGAGGACACCAGUUUCAAGGUGCCAUCCUACAAACAGAGCCUAAGGUCAGAUGUCCAACCUGCUG